CGAAUUUGGAGCCCGGGUUCGGCCCGAGAGAUCGGCCCGGGUUCUUUUCGGGUCGAGCUUUUCCGUCUUGACCGUGUAAAACGGUUUCGCGGCAUUAUAUUCUGUAUGGGUAAAACUAUAUUGCAACUCGGUUACAAACUAUACGCGCGACUAUGCGUGCACCGUUACAACGAAAAAAGUGACACGUAAACGAAAUUGACAGCGUUUUCAAACCGACAUAUUGUAUUAUUACAUUAUAUUAUAAUCGAAUUUACGAGUUAAAAGAUCG